rnacentral:lncRNA from 1 species
UCCAGACAAAAGCCUGGGCAACGGCUCUCUGAAAAGGAUUCCAACAACAUGGGGAAUCAUCCCAAGAGCUGACAUGGAAUUAUAUGAAAUUUUAAAGCUUGUGAAGAGCAAAGGAAAUAAUCAGCAGUGAAGAGACAGCAACCAGGAUGGGAGAAAAUCUUGACCAACGCCACACCUGGCAGGAACCACAACACUCACUGGCAGAGGACAUUUAUCAUCUACAGGGCCUGGGCUCAAACCCCAGCCAAAAUAACAAUCAUCACCCAAGCUCUGAAAAGGGAGAGUGUAAAACUCCUAGAGAAGAAGAGGGGAAAGCAUCACGGCAUUAGUGGAUGUGGUCUCGUAGGCAGGACCCCAAAACACAGACAACAGGAACAGUUGUGACUACAGCAAACACAGACAACAGGAACAGUUGUGACUACAGCAAACUAAAAGGCUGCUGUUCAGCAAGUAAACAGCCACCAGAGUGAGAGUCAGCCUGCAAGAGGAGGAAGCCUUUUCAAGUUCAUUGGUGAAGUGUUAACCUACAAAACAAACAGUUCCAAUAAAUUAAUAAAUUUGAAAAUGAGUAACCUGAUUUUAAAGAUGACAAAGAAACAUUUCUCCAAAGGAAAUAAAUAAAGUGGCCAACAAGCAUGUGGGGAAAAAAAUGGCUAGCAUCACUGAUCUUUUGUGAAAUGCAAAUCAAAACCACAAAGAGAUAUUGCCUUCCUUCGGCUUUCAGGAUGCUACCAUCAAAGGGGGAGAAAGCUGCACUGGAACCUGAGAUCUGCCAACAUCUGCCUUUCGAAGUUGACCUGCUGUACCAUCAGUCUCUGCACCUUCUGGCUCUGGCUACAGAAUGCCAUGGUGGAAGUCACAAAGACCACACGAGGGGGAAGGUCGCCUCACACAUCGACCUGCAGAACUACUUUAAGAUUCUUCUUUGAAGUCUCUACAGGCUAACUUCACAACAGAUGAUAAUGUGAUGAAAUUCUUGACUCUCAACUGGUGAAGGACUUCAACUCCAGGCUAGCACCCUUCCCAUGGCCCCUUAAACGCCCUUCUUCCAUCCUGCCUCAGAGUGACCCAGGAAGCCAAACUCUCGGAGUUUUACUCCGGGUUUCCUUCCCCUACUGGACACCAAUGCGAAUAAGCAAAAAGAAAAAAAAAUGUUUUCUAUGUGUUUUAAUAUUUCACAGUGAACAUCGCAAAGCCAUUAUAAACUUAGAGGACUCCAUGUCUAAGAACCACGACCCGCAGGCAAGAUGCUUCAUCCGCCUAAGGUGCUUCCUGAGGACCUGAAUUUGAUCCCUGGGACCCACCUCGUGGGAGGAGAGAGCUAGAGAACUACUGCAGGUGAUUCUUGGUCCACACAGGAGAUGGGGCACAGUGUCCC